GGCUCCACAGUGUAGUUGGUUAGCAUGUCUGCUUUACAUGCAGAAGGUCCUGGGUUCAGGCCCCAGGGGGAGCCA
rnacentral:tRNA from 1 species